rnacentral:rRNA from 2 species
UUAAGCGACUAAGCGUACACGGUGGAUGCCCUGGCAGUCAGAGGCGAUGAAGGACGUGCUAAUCUGCGAAAAGCGUCGGUAAGGUGAUAUGAACCGUUAUAACCGGCGAUGUCCGAAUGGGGAAACCCAGUGCAAUUCGUUGCACUAUCGUUAACUGAAUACAUAGGUUAACGAGGCGAACCGGGGGAACUGAAACAUCUAAGUACCCCGAGGAAAAGAAAUCAACCGAGAUUCCCCCAGUAGCGGCGAGCGAACGGGGAGCAGCCCAGAGUCUGAAUCAGCUUGUGUGUUAGUGGAACGGUCUGGAAAGUCCGACGGUACAGGGUGAUAGUCCCGUACACCAAAAUGCACAGGUUGUGAACUCGAAGAGUAGGGCGGGACACGUGGUAUCCUGUCUGAAUAUGGGGGGACCAUCCUCCAAGGCUAAAUACUCCUGACUGACCGAUAGUGAACCAGUACCGUGAGGGAAAGGCGAAAAGAACCCCGGCGAGGGGAGUGAAAAAGAACCUGAAACCGUGUACGUACAAGCAGUGGGAGCACCUUCGGGUGUGACUGCGUACCUUUUGUAUAAUGGGUCAGCGACUUAUAUUCUGUAGCAAGGUUAACCGUAUAGGGGAGCCGCAGGGAAACCGAGUCUUAACUGGGCGUUAAGUUGCAGGGUAUAGACCCGAAACCCGGUGAUCUAGCCAUGGGCAGGUUGAAGGUUGGGUAACACUAACUGGAGGACCGAACCGACUAAUGUUGAAAAAUUAGCGGAUGACUUGUGGCUGGGGGUGAAAGGCCAAUCAAACCGGGAGAUAGCUGGUUCUCCCCGAAAGCUAUUUAGGUAGCGCCUCGUGAACUCAUCUUCGGGGGUAGAGCACUGUUUCGGCUAGGGGGUCAUCCCGACUUACCAACCCGAUGCAAACUACGAAUACCGAAGAAUGUUAUCACGGGAGACACACGGCGGGUGCUAACGUCCGUCGUGAAGAGGGAAACAACCCAGACCGCCAGCUAAGGUCCCAAAGUCAUGGUUAAGUGGGAAACGAUGUGGGAAGGCACAGACAGCCAGGAUGUUGGCUUAGAAGCAGCCAUCAUUUAAAGAAAGCGUAAUAGCUCACUGGUCGAGUCGGCCUGCGCGGAAGAUGUAACGGGGCUAAACCAUGCACCGAAGCUGCGGCAGCGACACUAUGUGUUGUUGGGUAGGGGAGCGUUCUGUAAGCCUGCGAAGGUGACCUGUGAGGGUUGCUGGAGGUAUCAGAAGUGCGAAUGCUGACAUAAGUAACGAUAAAGCGGGUGAAAAGCCCGCUCGCCGGAAGACCAAGGGUUCCUGUCCAACGUUAAUCGGGGCAGGGUGAGUCGACCCCUAAGGCGAGGCCGAAAGGCGUAGUCGAUGGGAAACAGGUUAAUAUUCCUGUACUUGGUGUUACUGCGAAGGGGGGACGGAGAAGGCUAUGUUAGCCGGGCGACGGUUGUCCCGGUUUAAGCAUGUAGGCUGGUUAUCCAGGCAAAUCCGGAUAAUCAAGGCUGAGGUGUGAUGACGAGGUACUACGGUGCUGAAGUAACAAAUGCCCUGCUUCCAGGAAAAGCCUCUAAGCAUCAGGUAACAUCAAAUCGUACCCCAAACCGACACAGGUGGUCAGGUAGAGAAUACCAAGGCGCUUGAGAGAACUCGGGUGAAGGAACUAGGCAAAAUGGUGCCGUAACUUCGGGAGAAGGCACGCUGGUGUGUAGGUGAAGCCCCUGCGGGUGGAGCUGAGACCAGUCGAAGAUACCAGCUGGCUGCAACUGUUUAUUAAAAACACAGCACUGUGCAAACACGAAAGUGGACGUAUACGGUGUGACGCCUGCCCGGUGCCGGAAGGUUAAUUGAUGGGGUUAUCCGUAAGGAGAAGCUCUUGAUCGAAGCCCCGGUAAACGGCGGCCGUAACUAUAACGGUCCUAAGGUAGCGAAAUUCCUUGUCGGGUAAGUUCCGACCUGCACGAAUGGCGUAAUGAUGGCCAGGCUGUCUCCACCCGAGACUCAGUGAAAUUGAACUCGCUGUGAAGAUGCAGUGUACCCGCGGCAAGACGGAAAGACCCCGUGAACCUUUACUAUAGCUUGACACUGAACAUUGAGCCUUGAUGUGUAGGAUAGGUGGGAGGCUUUGAAGCGUGGACGCCAGUCUGCGUGGAGCCAACCUUGAAAUACCACCCUUUAAUGUUUGAUGUUCUAACGUGGGCCCCUAAUCGGGGUUGCGGACAGUGUCUGGUGGGUAGUUUGACUGGGGCGGUCUCCUCCCAAAGCGUAACGGAGGAGCACGAAGGUUAGCUAAUCCUGGUCGGACAUCAGGAGGUUAGUGCAAUGGCAUAAGCUAGCUUGACUGCGAGCGUGACGGCGCGAGCAGGUGCGAAAGCAGGUCAUAGUGAUCCGGUGGUUCUGAAUGGAAGGGCCAUCGCUCAACGGAUAAAAGGUACUCCGGGGAUAACAGGCUGAUACCGCCCAAGAGUUCAUAUCGACGGCGGUGUUUGGCACCUCGAUGUCGGCUCAUCACAUCCUGGGGCUGAAGUAGGUCCCAAGGGUAUGGCUGUUCGCCAUUUAAAGUGGUACGCGAGCUGGGUUUAGAACGUCGUGAGACAGUUCGGUCCCUAUCUGCCGUGGGCGCUGGAGAAUUGAGGGGGGCUGCUCCUAGUACGAGAGGACCGGAGUGGACGCAUCACUGGUGUUCGGGUUGUCAUGCCAAUGGCACUGCCCGGUAGCUAAAUGCGGAAGAGAUAAGUGCUGAAAGCAUCUAAGCACGAAACUUGCCCCGAGAUGAGUUCUCCCUGAGACUUUAAGUCUCCUGAAGGAACGUUGAAGACGACGACGUUGAUAGGCCGGGUGUGUAAGCGCAGCGAUGCGUUGAGCUAACCGGUACUAAUGAACCGUGAGGCUUAACCU